rnacentral:rRNA from 1 species
AUUGAACGCUGGCGGCAGGCCUAACACAUGCAAGUCGAGCGGAUGAAGGGAGCUUGCUCCUGGAUUCAGCGGCGGACGGGUGAGUAAUGCCUAGGAAUCUGCCUGGUAGUGGGGGAUAACGUCCGGAAACGGGCGCUAAUACCGCAUACGUCCUGAGGGAGAAAGUGGGUGAUCUUCGGACCUCACGCUAUCAUAUGAGCCUAGGUCGGACUAGCUAGUUGGUGGGGUAAAGGCCUACCAAGGCGACGAUCCGUCACUGGUCUGAGAGGAUGAUCAGUCACACUGGAACUGAGACACGGUCCAGACUCCUAAGGGAGGCAGCAGUGGGGAAUAUUGGACAAUGGGCGAAAGCCUGAUCCAGCCAUGCCGCGUGUGUGAAGAAGGUCUUCGGAUUGUAAAGCACUUUAAGUUGGGAGGAAGGGCAGUAAGUUAAUACCUUGCUGUUUUGACGUUACCAACAGAAUAAGCACCGGCUAACUUCGUG